GAGAGGGUAAGUUAGUUGUAGUGGUGGCGGUGGUGGUGGUUUAGGGAGGUUACAGGUGUGGUUAUUCAUUUAUUUCGUGUGUGUGAAGGUGAUGGUGAUGUGUAGGUAAACAUUGUUGGUGAGUGCAUUUAUCGUCAUAUAAAGCAAGCCUGUGGUCAUUGCUACUGGUUAUUACUGGUGCGAGAUGAGAUUGGCACCAAAACACUCCCUUUGAUACCACAUGUAGUUCACGAACGUUCCUAAAUGUGAAUACAUAAAGAUGGAAUUCUCGACAACAAAGUGACGUGUGGUGCGGCCUCGUCCUGACGCGUGGCGCCUUGGCCUGGCCCAGCUGCCCAGCGUCAACUUAGCCAUAGAAAGGCAGAUAGAUACAUUUUUGGGACUUUCAAGGCACAAAGGAAUAUUAUUGUACUCUUCUAAAUGUAGUGAAAGAAGUGAGGUCUGAUGGGAAAGUGUCAUAUUGGACAAAACAAGGUGUGUGUUUCCGGGCGCGGGAGUAAAGCCAAGGUCGAAGCCUCAGUCAGUGUAACGAACACAUGUAGUGAAGUCAGUCAUCGCGCUGACGGACGGAGUUGAAGUUCUCAGUGUUUUAGUGAGUGUUAUUAAGUUCUCCCCACUGACAUGCACCGGGCCAACACCAGCAUUGCAGAGGAGAAGAAUAGACGCGUCACAAGUGUGGAAGUCAAUAAUUCUUCUCAACUCGAUGAACAACGAAGGAAAAAAAAUAUUUCCAUUAAGGGUUCACUGUGAACCGUGGCCUGCAGCGGCCGGGUGUUGUGGUAGGGGGAGGUGGCAGCCGUGGCCCCCAGCGCCCCGUGGGUCCAGGAGGAGGUGUGUUCAUCAACCCUGACUUCCCCACCUCCCUGAUCACUCCUG